ACGGGAGGCAGCAGCUAGGAAUAUUCCGCAAUGGACGAAAGUCUGACGGAGCGACGCCGCGUGGAUGAUGAAGGUCGUACGGUUGUAAAAUCCUUUUAUAAAUGAGGAAUAAGCAGUGUGAGAGAAACGCAUUGUGGUGACUGUAGGUUAUGAAUAAGCAACGGCUAAUUACGUGCCAGCAGCCGCGGUAACACGUAAGUUGCGAGCGUUGUUCGGAAUUAUUGGGCGUAAAGGGCAUGUAGGCGGUUUUGCAAGCUUGGUGUGAAAUCUCGGAGCUCAACUCCGAAAUUGCGUUGAGAACUGCAUGACUGGAGUCACUGAGGGGCAAGCAGAAUUCCUGGUGUAGGGGUGAAAUCGGUAGAUAUCAGGAAGAAUACCAAUGGCGAAGGCAGGUUACCAGCAGAUGACUGACGCUGAGGUGCGAAGGUGCGGGGAGCAAACAGGAUUAGAUACCCUGGUA
rnacentral:rRNA from 1 species